rnacentral:rRNA from 1 species
AUACGUAGGGGGCGAGCGUUGUCCGGAAUGAUUGGGCGUAAAGGGCGCGUAGGCGGCCCGGUAAGUCUGGAGUGAAAGUCCUGUUUUUAAGAUGGGAAUUGCUUUGGAUACUGUCGGGCUUGAGUGCAGGAGAGGUAAGUGGAAUUCCCAGUGUAGCGGUGAAAUGCGUAGAGAUUGGGAGGAACACAAGUGGCGAAGGCGACUUACUGGACUGGAACUGACGCUGAGGCGCGAAAGUGUGGGGAGCAAACAGGAUUAGAUACCCUGGUAGUCCUCACUGUAAACGAUGAAUGCUAGGUGUAAGAGGGAUCGACCCCUUUUGGGCCGGAGUCAACACAAUAAGCAUUCCGCCUGGGGAGUUCGGCCGCAAGGUUGACACUCAAAUGAAUUGACGGGG